CGCACAUUGCGCCCUCUGGCAUUCCGGGGGGCACGCCUGUUCGAGCGUCAUUGAACCGAUCAAGCUCCGCUUGGUAUUGGGACUCGCUCCCCGCGAGGGGAGGUCCCGGAAAGUAGCGGCGCGAUCGUGCGGAGAAGAACGCAAGGGAACCCUAAGCGGUUAUCGUUCUUCCUCCGGGCGUUCGUCGCCGUGGAACGGUUGCCCGCCCCCGGCGGGUCCCCACACGCAGAAUUGACCUCGGAUCAGGUGGGAAUACCCGCUGAACUUAA
rnacentral:misc_RNA from 1 species